GAGGGGGGUAGAAUUCCACGUGUAGCAGUGAAAUGCGUAGAGAUGUGGAGGAAUACCGAUGGCGAAGGCAGCCCCCUGGGUUAGUACUGACGCUCAUGCACGAAAGCGUGGGAAGCAAACAGGAUUAGAUACCCUGGUAGUCCACGCCCUAAACGAUGUCAACUAGGUGUUGGAAGGGUUAAACCUUUUAGUACCGCAGCUAACGCGUGAAGUUGACCGCCUGGGGAGUACGGCCGCAAGGUUAAAACUCAAAGGAAUUGACGGGGACCCGCACAAGCGGUGGAUGAUGUGGAUUAAUUCGAUGCAACGCGAAAAACCUUACCUACCCUUGACAUGCCAGGAACUUUCCAGAGAUGGAUUGGUGCCCGAAAGGGAGCCUGGACACAGGUGCUGCAUGGCUGUCGUCAGCUCGUGUCGUGAGAUGUUGGGUUAAGUCCCGCAACGAGCGCAACCCUUGUCAUUAAUUGCCAUCAUUCAGUUGGGCACUUUAAUGAGACUGCCGGUGACAAACCGGAGGAAGGUGGGGAUGACGUCAAGUCCUCAUGGCCCUUAUGGGUAGGGCUUCACACGUCAUACAAUGGUCGGUACAGGGGGUUGCCAAGCCGCGAGGUGGAGCCAAUCCCAGAAAGCCGAUCGUAGUCCGGAUCGCAGUCUGCAACUCGACUGCGUGAAGUCGGAAUCGCUAGUAAUCGCGGAUCAGCAUGUCGCGGUGAAUACGUUCCCGGGUCUUGUACACACCGCCCGUC
rnacentral:rRNA from 1 species